rnacentral:lncRNA from 1 species
AAAAAAAUCUAUCUUUAGCCAUCUUUUAUACCAAAACCACCCAGAGGCAAACAAAUUUCCCUACUAAACCAUCAAAUAUUGCAAAGCAAGAAAAAGACUACGUAAUUUGCAACUCGGUUCAAUAGUAGAAGCACAUAAAAAGAGAGAAAGAGAAAGAUUCAUAAAGAAAAAGUAAACCUCAAGGAACUCCUGGGCAUAAGCUUGUGCAAGUUGAUUCUUUAACUGGUCCUUCAAGUCUUCAUCUGAAAUUUGGGGUGACCCAGAUCCCACACUUGAAUGUGAAGAAAACGAAUCCAUAAUUUCUCUCUCUCUCUGUCUCUCUGUAGGCUCUGUGACUGUUUCGGUGCUGACAGAGAGGGACAGUACUUGAUAUAAGCCCUAGAGAAAGUAGGAUGAUCUUUUUCUUUUUCGAUUUUAAUCCUUAAACCCUUGUUCAAGGCCCAUUUGAUGUUGUCCUGAGCCAAGGCCUAGCCUGGUUACAAAACUUGUUGGAGC